AGAGUUUGAUCCUGGCUCAGGACGAACGCUGGCGGCGUGCUUAACACAUGCAAGUCGAACGGAAAGGCCCUGCUUUUGUGGGGUGCUCGAGUGGCGAACGGGUGAGUAACACGUGAGUAACCCGCCCUUUGACUUUGGGAUAACUUCAGGAAACUGGGGCUAAUACCGGAUAGGAGCUCCUGCUGCAUGGUGGGGGUUGGAAAGUUUCGGCGGUUGGGGAUGGACUCGCGGCUUAUCAGCUUGUUGGUGGGGUAGUGGCUUACCAAGGCUUUGACGGGUAGCCGGCCUGAGAGGGUGACCGGCCACAUUGGGACUGAGAUACGGCCCAGACUCCUACGGGAGGCAGCAGUGGGGAAUAUUGCACAAUGGGCGGAAGCCUGAUGCAGCAACGCCGCGUGCGGGAUGACGGCCUUCGGGUUGUAAACCGCUUUCGCCUGUGACGAAGCGUGAGUGACGGUAAUGGGUAAAGAAGCACCGGCUAACUACGUGCCAGCAGCCGCGGUGAUACGUAGGGUGCGAGCGUUGUCCGGAUUUAUUGGGCGUAAAGGGCUCGUAGGUGGUUGAUCGCGUCGGAAGUGUAAACUUGGGGCUUAACCCUGAGCGUGCUAUCGAUACGGGUUGACUUGAGGAAGGUAGGGGAGAAUGGAAUUCCUGGUGGAGCGGUGGAAUGCGCAGAUAUCAGGAGGAACACCAGUGGCGAAGGCGGUUCUCUGGGCCUUUCCUGACGCUGAGGAGCGAAAGCGUGGGGAGCGAACAGGCUUAGAUACCCUGGUAGUCCACGCUGUAAACGGUGGGUACUAGGUGUGGGGUCCAUUCCACGGGUUCCGUGCCGUAGCUAACGCUUUAAGUACCCCGCCUGGGGAGUACGGCCGCAAGGCUAAAACUCAAAGGAAUUGACGG
rnacentral:rRNA from 1 species